rnacentral:rRNA from 1 species
UACAGAGGGUGCAAGCGUUAAUCGGAAUUACUGGGCGUAAAGCGCAUGUAGGUGGUUACAUAAGUUUGAUGUGAAAGCCCCGGGCUUAACCUGGGAAUUGCGUUGAAGACUGUGUGACUAGAGUCGGACAGAGGGUCGUGGAAUUUCCGGUGUAGCGGUGAAAUGCGUAGAGAUCGGAAAGAACACCAGUGGCGAAGGCGGCGACCUGGGUCCAGACUGACACUGAGGUGCGAAAGCAUGGGGAGCAAACAGG